rnacentral:lncRNA from 1 species
UUCAAAUAGGGCUGGCUUCUCUGACUCUGGUCUAGAAAACAGCUUCCCUUCUUAAACAGCUUUCAUUCUGCAGCUUCCUUGUGGAUCCUCUUGGCUUAAAUGUUUUUGCAUUAUUAUAUUUUGAGAUGUUUUCUUAUCAGAAUGUAUUAAAAAGUACAGGAAGAAACAAAUGGCCUAUUUCAUUUUUGGCUUUCUGUAACCAGGCAAAUAGAAACCUGGUGUACUUAUUACUUAGGCUGACGUGUUUCAUUUUUUUUUUUUUUUUUUUUGGCAAAGACAAAAUGGUAAAUUGUUGUAGGGGAGGUCCUUCAGGGGUGGAGGUAUGAGGGUAACAAUAUUACUUCAGAUUCAGGCUGGCGUGGCCACCAACCCUGUGCACCAGGGUUAGAUGAACCCAGCUCCUAUUUUAUAGUGGAAUCAGCACCUUUUUUUAUUCACCAUUGUUGGCACAAUCCUUGGAAAUAAACUUUUUUCCCUGUGUUUUUUGCCUGCUUUGUCAUGUGUGUUUAUUGAACUGUUCAAUGCUCUCUUGGGUUCUCCCCAUGCUAUAGCAUGUUGGCUCACUGGAGUAAAUACUGCCAUUCUGGUGAGCUCUAGGACACUUAGCCAACAGGCCUAUUGCUAAAAGACAAGUGUCCCAGCCAUGGUGGCACCCGCCUUUAAUCCCAGCAUUUGGAGGAUCUUUGUGAGUUUGAGAUCACCCUUGUCUACAGAGUUCCAGGACAGCCAGUGCUGUUACACAGAGAAGCCCUGUCUCAACAAAACAAAAAAGAAAAAAAAAGUGUCAUUUGGCAUUUUUGGUGAAGUUCUUCAUUCUGAGGUUAUCAGGUUAACCACUCAAGCCCUGAGGGCAUGUCUGAGCCAAUUGGAUUCUGGAGCAGGCGGGGGACUUUCCUCAGUAUUUGUUUAUUGAAAGCCAAUUAGGACUGGGAUAAAUACAAAUUACAGCUCCAGAAAUUUUCUACUAAUGGUUAUUAUUUUUUUUACUUUGCCACCCAUCACCCCUUAUGGAAAAGGGACAGGAGGGGGUGGAAUAUUAACGAGCUUUCUAUGGUGAGAGGCACAUCUAUCUAAUUGUUAUUUCAUUCAUGGAACUUGAAAGUUAGGUUUUUUUGUUUUGUUUUUUAAUUUGGGCCUUACCCUGGCUGGCCUGGAAUUUAUAGUACGUACACUAGACUAGCCUUGAACUCAAGGGUUCCAACCUCCCUCUGUUUUUCAAAUGCUGGGGCUAAAGGAUUGCACCAUCAAGCCUGCAAAAAGUCGGCUAUAUUUUAAUGGAAUGAAUGCAAAUGAAGGCUUAGCAAUAUGACUGUUAGCAUCAAGUUCUGGGCAACCAGGAGGCUCUGUUAGUGAGGCUAGGGCUAUGCGGUCCCCGUUUUACAGAUACCCUGUCUCUAAGUAAUCAAAAAUCCUUCAAUUAAAUGAUACUUACUGAGCU